rnacentral:misc_RNA from 1 species
UUUAGAAAGUUCACAAGUCUAACACAUGGAUAUGUAUUCAUUUCCGAUGCUCAUACCCGAGUUCGAGUAACAUAAUGAUUGAGAAUGAGUACUCUUUAAGAUUUAAGAAUAAGAAAAAAGAAAAAGAAAGAAAGAGAAGAUAGGAAGAGAAGAGAAAGAAAGCAUAAACUACAUCUUUAUUAUCAUUACUUAUAUAAAAUAAAAGAUUGCACAUUUAUGUACAAAUCUCCUAUAAAUGCUCUACGUAAUUAGGAAUAUAAAACCUACCUAUCUAGGAAUAUAAAUCCUACACUAAA